UCCUACGGGAGGCAGCAGUGGGGAAUAUUGGACAAUGGGGGCAACCCUGAUCCAGCAAUGCCGCGUGAGUGAUGAAGGCCUUCGGGUUGUAAAGCUCUUUCACCCACGACGAUGAUGACGGUAGUGGGAGAAGAAGCCCCGGCUAACUUCGUGCCAGCAGCCGCGGUAAUACGAAGGGGGCUAGCGUUGUUCGGAGUUACUGGGCGUAAAGGGCGCGUAGGCGGCCUGAUCAGUCUGGUGUGAAAGCCCGGGGCUCAACCCCGGAAUUGCACUGGAGACGGUCAAGCUUGAGUGUGGGAGAGGAUGGUGGAAUUCCCAGUGUAGAGGUGAAAUUCGUAGAUAUUGGGAAGAACACCGGUGGCGAAGGCGGCCAUCUGGACCAUUACUGACGCUGAGGCGCGAAAGCGUGGGGAGCAAACAGGAUUAGAUACCCUGGUAGUCCACGCCGUAAACGAUGAGUGCUAGACGUCGGGGCCCUUAGGGCUUCGGUGUCGCAGCUAACGCAUUAAGCACUCCGCCUGGGGAGUACGGCCGCAAGGUUAAAACUCAAAGGAAUUGACGGGG
rnacentral:rRNA from 1 species